GUGGGAGCAAGGGGUGGCUUGUGUGGAGAAGGGAGAAGUAGAGAGGAAGGUAGGGGCCCCUCAUUCCAUCCUGCCCUCACCGACUCCUGGGAAGAUGACCCAUGCAUCUUCUGCCUCAGUCAGAAUCUGCCCUGCACCCAGACACCUCCCGGCGGGCACAGCACACAACGACGACCCUCACAGCCUUCCCCUAACCUACUGCCUACCAGACCUUCCAUUUCAGUGGCCCGCAGUCUCCGACCCUCCAUUUACGGACUUCGCCAACCCACAGCCAUUACAUGCAAGGCCAGUUUGGAGCCAGCUCUUUCCCGCCGGCCCUCUACGAGUGUCCCAGAUUCUGACGCAGAACGGGCUCCAGGCUGCGCGGGAAGGGACUAGGCGCCAGGGAGACCCUACCCCGCCCUAGGGUCUAGACCCGGUCUCAGGCGCAGCGAAGACGAGACCGCAUGCUCCGCGCCCCUUACCCCCUCCACACAGACGUGAGCACACGGCCGGGCUCCCGUCA